UCCAAUGAGAGAAAAGUCCAAACUGGUCUGCAGGCUGCUUUUGGCUGUAGCCAUGGACUUACCGGUGAAAACGAAGCUUUUUCUGCCGCCUAAUCGUGGACCUGUGCUUUCCCCCUUAUACGUUUGUUCUUCUUGUCCUGCAGGCAGUUUGGGUUGGGUUGGGGCGGGGGGGUCUUUCCCCGUUUCCUACUCUAACAAUUCUACUUCCCCCCUUUGGAGGGAGGUGUCGAUUUAAGGGAUUGGUAGAGUUGGAAACUCGAAAUGAGAGAAGCAGAAGAGAAUUUUGAGAUUGAGAGACAGAAGAAUAGAAAGGGACAUGAAACGAAACAGACCCAUUUGAUAGGAGUAUCUGAAACCUUCUCUCUUGAUCCAACUCUGCUAGUUUCAAGCAGCUAACAUACCACGAGUAAUCCUAUAUAUAUAUAUAUAUAUCACUGCAGGCACCAUACAAACAGUAAGUUUCCUGAUUCACCUCGAUCUUUUAUUCCUUGUUUGUGGGUCGUCUGGCUGCUUCAUCAAAUUUUUUCCCUUCACAUGGUGUGUGGGACUUGGAAGUGAAGCAUAGGUUCUCAUAGCUACUUACUUUUACUUUACUUUCCGGCCAUUAACUCAGCUUUCUGCUGUCUAAUAACUUUGCUCUUAAUUGCGUGCGUUUGUUGUGAUCUAAUUGCCUCAUCAGUGUUUGAAUCGGUUAUGUAUUUCAAUCGAAUUGGUUCUCUAGAUCUCGAAAAUUUAUUGAUGACCAUGAAAUUAAUAGAUGGUUAAUUUGUGUUUUAAUUGAUAUUGAUAGAUCUUUUCCUUUUGUGGUGCACACCCCACUUUGCAGGUUGGGAAGAUGGAGCUCAAGGCGAGUAGUUCAUGAAACAGUCAAGCAAUUGAUCUGCCUGGCUCCCUGAAUGCCAUCUGAGAAGCCUGUCAAGAGCUUUGACACUCUUCCUAGUUGGCAUCAGGGGAGUCAUGCAGACCCAAUAAAUAUAGUACACACACACACACUACUUGACGAUUUCAGUUCAGGUGACUUUGUUUCAAAACCUCCAUUAACUUCUCCUUCACAUGUAUAUAUGUCUUGAUUCUCUUUGUCCAUGACCAUUAAUUCCAUUCCAGCUUCACGGGUGAAUGUCUUUUUUCUUUCUUUCUUCCAUGCAUGAUCAUCUUCAAACUAUUCUUCACUUUUCUUUCUCAGAAAAAAGAAAUUACACGCGAUACACAGUUUGGACAUGAAAUAUUGAAGAGGUGUAAUGAAAACUCUUUCUAGAGUUGCAGUAAGAAGCAAGGAAAUUGGCCACCUGAUCCCCUCAGAAGAAAAAGAAAAGAAAAGAGAAGAAACCUAUUUUUUUUUCAGUAGACUAAAAUUGCUGCAAUUAAUUUAAAAGCUGCAGCAGAAGCUACCCCCAGCAUGAACUUAGUUGCUUCCUUAUUGAUCACCAGGCUAAGACCUCUAGAUGAGUACUCAGUUCCAAACUUCAGAUUGUUCAGCCCUUUGAAAACUCCAGAGAAGUCCAAAGGCUGAGUGUCAAAAAUUAUUCUUUUAGUUGUUCCUUAGCUGUACUUUCCAUCGUAACCCAACUGGGUCUAAAGAGAGCCAUCACUGGUUAACUACCAAAAAGAAAAUGAUAACAUGGAGGCUUUGGCAACAUACAAAUGCACCUUGAAGAGAACAAAUUAAAACUGCUUAUAGAUCUUCUUGAUUAAUUGUUAUUGCCUUGCAUCGUCGUUUCUUUUUAGGAAGAGAGAAGAGACUGGUUUCUCAGAUGAAAGCCUGAAACUACAUCAACCAAUAGAGCGGCUAUCUCGUGUACGUGAUUAAGGAGAGAGCUCCAUUGGAGAUGGACUUAGACAGAGAAGCUACAGGAUUGGAAAAAGCGAAGGCCUUGGUUCAGACUUCAGAGGAAGAGCUGCAGAUGCUUUGGAUCAUCAAAAUGCAAUAUUCCAAUUGAAAACAGCUCUUUAGUUUUCUAAGGGAAUAGUUUUUCUUUUUAUUUUUUGUCUUCGGAAUUCAUUAAGCAGUUGGGACAAGGAAAAGCAACAAGAACAGCCGACCCAGGCAAAAGAUUGGUCAAUUUAAGCAGGAAUCAAAGAGGAAAACACUUACUUUAUUUUAAAGCUUGUCAGUUUCUUCACUGAUCCACUUGUGUUAAGAGUGAGCAUCUGUGUCUGUUCUCAUUAUAAAACCAGAAUCAGAGUCAAGUUGGAGUUUCCAAGAUUGACCCACAUCCUCAAAACCCCAUUCUUAUAUGAGAUGAAUCCUGUCCCAGCAUUAGCUUCACUUGACCAACAUUUCUGAUAAACAAUAAAGGUAACUAAAUGUAAUAUUAAAUGUGAGUGUCUUGUUAUUUGUUUA